AUUGAACGCUGGCGGCAUGCUUUACACAUGCAAGUCGAACGGCAGCGCGGGCUUCGUCCUGGCGGCGCGUUGCGAACGGGCGAGUAAUGCAUCGGAACGUGCCCAGCAGUGGGGGAUAGCCCGACGAAAGCCGGCUUAAUACCGCAUACGACCAUAGGGUGAAAGCGGGGGACCGAAAGUCCUCGCCCUUUUUGAUCUGCCGGUGUCGGAUUAGCUAGUUGGUUGGGUAAGGGCUUACCAAGGCGACGAUCCGUAGCUGGUCUGAGAGGACGACCGGCCACACUGGGACUGAGACACGGUCCAGACUCCUACGGGAGGCAGCAGUGGGGAAUUUUGGACAAUGGGGGCAACCCUGACCCAGCCAUGCCGCGUGAGGGAAGAAGGCCUUCGGGUUGUAAACCGCUGUUGUUCGGGAAGAACUCCUCUGGGCUAAUACCCCGGGGGGAUGACGGUACCGGAAGAAUAAGCACCGGCUAACUACGUG
rnacentral:rRNA from 1 species